CGGUUGUGUCGCCAGACGCAUUGCCGGGUAGCUAAGUGCGGAAGAGAUAAGUGCUGAAAGCAUCUAAGCACGAAACUUGCCAAGAGAUGAGUUCUCCCUGUCUUUAAGACAGUAAGGGUUGUUUAAGACUAAGACGUAGAUAGGUCUGGUGUGUAAGCGGUGUGAGCCGUUGAGCUAACAGAUACUAAUUGCCCGAGAGGCUUAACUAU
rnacentral:rRNA from 1 species